rnacentral:rRNA from 1 species
AAACUUGGGCUAAUACCGAAUGUGCCCGCAAGGGGAAAGAUUUAUCGCCAAUAGAUCAGCCCGCGUAGGAUUAGCUAGUUGGUGGGGUAAUGGCCCACCAAGGCUCCGAUCCUUAGCUGUUCUGAGAGGAAGAUCAGCCACACUGGGACUGAGACACGGCCCAGACUCCUACGGGAGGCAGCAGUUGGGAAUCUUGGACAAUGGGCGAAAGCCUGAUCCAGCCAUGCCGCGUGAGUGAUGAAGGCCUUCGGGUUGUAAAACUCUUUCGACGGGGACGAUAAUGACGGUACCCGUAGAAGAAGCUCCGGCUAACUUCGUGCCAGCAGCCGCGGUAAUACGAAGGGGGCUAGCGUUGUUCGGAAUUACUGGGCGUAAAGCGCGCGCAGGCGGUUUUCCAAGUCAGUGGUGAAAGCCCGGAGCUCAACUCCGGAACUGCCAUUGAAACUGUUAAACUUGAGGACGAGAGAGGUGAGUGGAAUUCCCAGUGUAGAGGUGAAAUUCGUAGAUAUUGGGAAGAACACCGGUGGCGAAGGCGGCU